rnacentral:rRNA from 1 species
CCUACGGGAGGCAGCAGUGGGGAAUAUUGCACAAUGGGGGAAACCCUGAUGCAGCGACGCCGCGUGAGUGAAGAAGUAUUUCGGUAUGUAACGCUCUAUCAGCAGGAACGAGACAAGACGGUACCUGACUAAGAAGCCCCGGCUAACUACGUGCCAGCAGCCGCGGUACUACGUAGGGGGCAAGCGUUAUCCGGAAUCACUGGGUGUACAGGGAGCGUAGACGGCUGAGCAAGCCUGAAGUGAAAGGCGGGGGCCCAACCCCCGGACUGCUUUGGAAACUGUACGGCUGGAGUGCAGGAGAGGUAAGUGGAAUUCCUAGUGUAGCGGUGAAAUGCGUAGAUAUUAGGAGGAACACCAGUGGCGAAGGCGGCUUACUGGACUGUAACUGACGUUGAGGCUCGAAAGCGUGGGGAGCAAACAGGAUUAGAUACCCCGGUAGUC